rnacentral:rRNA from 1 species
GAAGGCGCUCUGCUGGGCCAUCACUGACGCUCAUGGACGAAAGCCAGGGGAGCGAAAGGGAUUAGAUACCCCUGUAGUCCUGGCCGUAAACGAUGAACACUAGGUGUCGGGGGAAUCGACCCCCUCGGUGUCGUAGCCAACGCGUUAAGUGUUCCGCCUGGGGAGUACGCACGCAAGUGUGAAACUCAAAGGAAUUGACGGGGGCCCGCACAAGCGGUGGAGUAUGUGGUUUAAUUCGAUGCAACGCGAAGAACCUUACCAGGGUUUGACAUCCUGCGAAUCUCUUGGAAACAGGAGAGUGCCUUCGGGAACGCAGUGACAGGUGGUGCAUGGCUGUCGUCAGCUCGUGUCGUGAGAUGUUGGGUUAAGUCCCGCAACGAGCGCAACCCACGUCUUUAGUUGCCAGCAUUUAGUUGGGCACUCUAGAGAGACUGCCGGUGAUAAACCGGAGGAAGGUGUGGAUGACGUCAAGUCAUCAUGCCCCUUACAUCCUGGGCUACACACGUACUACAAUGCUACGGACAAAGGGCUGCAAGUUCGCGAGGACAAGCAAAUCCCAUAAACCGUGGCUCAGUUCAGAUCGUAGGCUGCAACUCGCCUACGUGAAGGCGGAAUCGCUAGUAAUCGCAGGUCAGCAUACUGCGGUGAAUACGUUCCCGGGCCUUGUACACACCGCCCGUCACACCAUGGAAGUUGGCCACGCCCGAAGCCGUUACUCCAACCCUUGUGGAGGAGGACGUCGAAGGUGGGGCUGAUGACUGGGGUGAAGUCGUAACAAGGUAACCGUA